rnacentral:rRNA from 1 species
AGCAGCCGCGGUAAUUCCAGCUCCAAUAGCGUAUAUUAAAGUUGUUGCAGUUAAAAAGCUCGUAGUUGAAUUUCGGGGUCAGUAAGUUGGUCGUGCCACUGGUAUGCACUGGCUUUACUGACUCCUCCUUCUUGAAGAACUGUGAUGCCAUUAAUUUGGUGUUGCAGGGAAACAGGACUGUUACUUUGAAAAAAUUAGAGUGUUUAAAGCAGGCUAACGCUUGAAUACAUUAGCAUGGAAUAAUGAAAUAGGACGUUUGACCCUAUUUUGUUGGUUUCUAGGGUUGACGUAAUGAUUAAUAGGGAUAGUUGGGGGCAUUAGUAUUCAAUUGUCAGAGGUGAAAUUCUUGGAUUUAUUGAAGACUAACUACUGCGAAAGCAUUUGCCAAGGAUGUUUUCAUUAAUCAAGAACGAAAGUUAGGGGAUCGAAGACGAUCAGAUACCGUCGUAGUCUUAACCAUAAACUAUGCCGACUAGGGAUCGGAUGAUGUUAAUUUUUAAUGACUCAUUCGGCGCCUUAC